UGGUUGUCGUCAGCUCGUGUCGUGAGAUGUUGGGUUAAGUCCCGCAACGAGCGCAACCCUUGAUCUUAGUUGCCAGCAUUUAGUUGGGCACUCUAAGGUGACUGCCGGUGACAAACCGGAGGAAGGUGGGGAUGACGUCAAAUCAUCAUGCCCCUUAUGACCUGGGCUACACACGUGCUACAAUGGACAGAACAAAGGGCUGCGAGACCGCAAGGUUUAGCCAAUCCCACAAAUCUGUUCUCAGUUCGGAUCGCAGUCUGCAACUCGACUGCGUGAAGCUGGAAUCGCUAGUAAUCGCGGAUCAG
rnacentral:rRNA from 1 species